rnacentral:rRNA from 1 species
UACGUAGGGUGCAAGCGUUGUCCGGAAUUAUUGGGCGUAAAGAGCUCGUAGGCGGCUUGUCACGUCGACUGUGAAAACCCGGGGCUCAACUCCGGGCCUGCAGUCGAUACGGGCUGGCUUGAGUGCGGUAGGGGAGUCUGGAAUUCCUGGUGUAGCGGUGAAAUGCGCAGAUAUCAGGAGGAACACCGGUGGCGAAGGCGGGACUCUGGGCCGAUACUGACGCUGAGGAGCGAAAGCGUGGGGAGCAAACAGG